UGGGGAAUCUUGGACAAUGGGGGCAACCCUGAUCCAGCGAUGCCGCGUGAGUGAAGAAGGCCUUCGGGUCGUAAAGCUCUUUAGGUUGGGACGAAGUUUAGUGGGGGAUAAUCCCAUUAGAUUGACGGUACCGACAGAAUAAGCACCGGCAAACUCUGUGCCAGCAGCCGCGGUAAUACAGAGGGUGCGAGCGUUAAUCGGAAUUACUGGGCGUAAAGGGUGCGUAGGCGGUUGUGUGUGAGUUAUGUGAAAGCCCCGGGCUUAACCUGGGAAGUGCAUAGCUGACUACAUAACUGGAGUACAAGAGAGGGUAGCGGAAUUUCCGGUGUAGCGGUGAAAUGCGUAGAUAUCGGAAGGAACGUCAAUGGCGAAGGCAGCUACCUGGCUUGAUACUGACGCUGAGGCACGAAAGCGUGGGGAGCGAACAGG
rnacentral:rRNA from 1 species